rnacentral:rRNA from 1 species
UAGACGGGACCCGCACAAGCGUUGGAGCAUGUGGUUUAAUUCGACGAUACACGAAGAACCUUACCUGGACUUGACAUAGUAAGAACUUUCUAGAGAUAGAUUGGUGUCUGCUUGCAGAAACUUAUAUACAGGUGCUGCACGGCUGUCGUCAGCUCGUGUCGUGAGAUGUUGGGUUAAGUCCCGCAACGAGCGCAACCCUCGUCCUUAGUUGCUAACAGUUCGGCUGAGAACUCUAAGGAGACUGCCUACGCAAGUAGGAGGAAGGUGAGGACGACGUCAAGUCAUCAUGGCCCUUACGUCCAGGGCUACACACGUGCUACAAUGGGGUAUACAAAGAGCAGCAAUACGGUGACGUGGAGCAAAUCUCAAAAAUAUCUCCCAGUUCGGAUUGUAGUCUGCAACUCGACUACAUGAAGUUGGAAUCGCUAGUAAUCGUAGAUCAGCUAUGCUACGGUGAAUACGUUCCCGGGUCUUGUACUCACCGCCCGUCACACCAUGGGAGUUGAACUCAUUCGAAGCGGGGAUGCUAAAGUAGCUACCUUCCACAGUGGAUUCAGCGACUGGGGUGAAGUCGUAACAGGUAACCU